rnacentral:rRNA from 1 species
GUCGUGGAGGUCCGAACCCACUUCAGUUGAAAAUGGAGGGGAUGAGUUGUGGAUAGGGGUGAAAGGCCAAUCAAACACCGUGAUAGCUGGUUCUCCCCGAAAUGCAUUUAGGUGCAGCGUUGCGUGGUUCUUGUUGGAGGUAGAGCACUGGAUGGUCUAGGGGGCUUAUCGGCUUACCGAAAUCAGCCAAACUCCGAAUGCUGGCAAGUGUAGCGUGGCAGUGAGACGGCGGGGGAUAAGCUUCGUCGUCGAGAGGGAAACAGCCCAGAUCAUCAGCUAAGGCCCCUAAGUGGUGACUCAGUGGGAAAGGAUGUGGAGUUGCGUAGACAACCAGGAGGUUGGCUUGGAAGCAGCCAUCCUUGAAAGAGUGCGUAAUAGCUCACUGGUCAAGUGAUUCCGCGCCGAUAAUGUAGCGGGGCUUAAGUUAUCCGCCGAAGCUGUGGCAACCUGUGUGGUUGGGUAGGGGAGCGUCGUGUCAGUGGUGAAGCUGCCGGGUGACCGUGUGGUGGAGGUGAUGCGAGUGAGAAUGCAGGCAUGAGUAGCGUGUGACGGGUGGGAAUCCCGUCCGCCGAUUAUCCAAGGGUUCCAGGGUGAAGUUUGUCUGCCCUGGGUGAGUCGGGUCCUAAGGCGAGGCCGACAGGCGUAGUCGAUGGGUAACCAGUUGAUAUUCUGGUACCGGCAUGUCACCGUCCGUGUCGAGGUGUGUGAUGCUAAGCGUGCGAGUGUCCUGGUGAUCCUUUUUUGGGGUGAUCUUGUGGCGUGAGUGUGUGAACCGAGCAUGUAGUAGGCAAGCUGCGGAGGGACGCAGGGAGGUAGCUCAUCCCCGGCGAUGGUUGUCCGGGGCUAAGUGUGUGGACUGUCUGGUAGGUAAAUCCGCUGGGCGUGAAGGUUGAGGCAUGAUGGGGAGCCCAUGGUUGUGGGUGAGUGAGUGAUCCUGUACUGUCGAGAAAAGCUUCGUGAGCGAGGUGGCGGGUCCGCCCGUACCCUAAACCGACACUGGUGGAUAGGUAGAGUAUACCGAGGCGAUCGAGUGAAUCGUGGUGAAGGAACUCGGCAAAAUGCCCCCGUAACUUUGGGAUAAGGGGGACCUGAGCUGUCGUGCACUUGUGCGGUGUUGUGGCGGUGAGGGGCGCAGAGACCAGGGGGAAACGACUGUUUAUCAAAAACACAGGUCCGUGCGAAGUCGUAAGACGAUGUAUACGGACUGACUCCUGCCCGGUGCUGGAAGGUUAAGGGGAACUGUGAGUGUAUGCGUAGCGGUGAACUUAAGCCCCAGUAAACGGCGGUGGUAACUAUAACCAUCCUAAGGUAGCGAAAUUCCUUGUCGGGUAAGUUCCGACCCGCACGAAAGGCGUAACGAUUUGGGCACUGUCUCAACGAGAGACUCGGUGAAAUCAUAGUACCUGUGAAGAUGCAGGUUACCCGCGACAGGACGGAAAGACCCCGUGGAGCUUUACUGUAGCCUGAUAUUGAAAUUCGGCACAGCUUGUACAGGAUAGGUAGGAGCCAUUGAAACGUGAGCGCUAGCUUACGUGGAGGCGUUGGUGGGAUACUACCCUAGCUGUGUUGGCUUUCUAACCCGCACCACUUAUCGUGGUGGGAGACAGUGUCAGGCGGGCAGUUUGACUGGGGCGGUCGCCUCCUAAAGGGUAACGGAGGCGCCCAAAGGUUCCCUCAGCCUGGUUGGUAAUCAGGUGGUGAGUGUAAGUGCACAAGGGGGCUUGACUGUGAGACUGACAGGUCGAGCAGGGACGAAAGUCGGGACUAGUGAUCUGACGGUGGCUUGUGGAUGUGCCGUCACUCAACGGAUAAAAGGUACCCCGGGGAUAACAGGCUGAUCUUGCCCGAGCGCUCAUAGCGACGGCAUGGUUUGGCACCUCGAUGUCGGCUCGUCGCAUCCUGGGGCUGGAGUCGGUCCCAAGGGUUGGGCUGUUCGCCCAUUAAAGCGGUACGCGAGCUGGGUUCAGAACGUCGUGAGACAGUUCGGUCCCUAUCCGUCGCGGGCGUUGGAAAUUUGAGAGGAGCUGUCCUUAGUACGAGAGGACCGGGAUGGACGUACCUCUGGUGUGCCAGUUGUCCCGCCUGGGGCAUGGCUGGUUGGCUACGUACGGAAGG